rnacentral:rRNA from 1 species
GACAGAGGUCCCGAGCGUUAGGCGGAAUCACUGGGCUUAAAGCGUGUGUAGGCGGAUGCCUAAGUACCUUGUGAAAUCCCACGGCUCACCCGUGGAACUGCUUGGUAUACUGGGUGUCUUGAGCCACUUAGGGGCUACCGGAACAAAUGGUGGAGCGGUGAAAUGCGUAGAUAUCUGGAGGAAUACCGGUGGCGAAGGCGGCAUCCUGGACCGGCAUUGACGCUGAACAGCGAAAGCUAGGGGAGCAAACGGG